rnacentral:rRNA from 1 species
CACGGAUAACAUACCGAAAGGUAUGCUAAUACGGGAUAAUAUAUUUGAGAGGCAUCUCUUAAAUAUCAAAGGUGAGCCAGUACAGGAUGGACCCGCGUCUGAUUAGCUAGUUGGUAAGGUAACGGCUUACCAAGGCGACGAUCAGUAGCCGACCUGAGAGGGUGAUCGGCCACAUUGGAACUGAGACACGGUCCAAACUCCUACGGGAGGCAGCAGUGGGGAAUAUUGCACAAUGGGCGAAAGCCUGAUGCAGCAACGCCGCGUGAGUGAUGAAGGCCUUCGGGUCGUAAAACUCUGUCCUCAAGGAAGAUAAUGACGGUACUUGAGGAGGAAGCCCCGGCUAACUACGUGCCAGCAGCCGCGGUAAUACGUAGGGGGCUAGCGUUAUCCGGAUUUACUGGGCGUAAAGGGUGCGUAGGCGGUCUUUCAAGUCAGGAGUGAAAGGCUACGGCUCAACCGUAGUAAGCUCUUGAAACUGGGAGACUUGAGUGCAGGAGAGGAGAGUGGAAUUCCUAGUGUAGCGGUGAAAUGCGUAGAUAUUAGGAGGAACACCAGUUGCGAAGGCGGCUCUCUGGACUGUAACUGACGCUGAGGCACGAAAGCGUGGGGAGCAAACAGGAUUAGAUACCCUGGUAGUCCACGCUGUAAACGAUGAGUACUAGGUGUCGGGGGUUACCCCCCUCGGUGCCGCAGCUAACG